ensembl:lncRNA
CGCUUGUGUGAGGUGUAACAUGAGAUGUGGUGAUGUGUCAGUGUUGGGAUGACGUGAAGAGCCCUGCCAUUGCCCCACCUGAGCGCAUUUGUCAUCCCGACGAUAUGCUUUCUGAGUCCCGGCCUCAGCCUCCCGCUCCAACGCUGAUGGAAAACUUGCAGCAAAAACGCAAAAAGGUCAUUAUCAUCGUUCCAGUGGUUUGCCUCUGCAGGUUGAUGAAACAGAUACAACGCUUGAUCUGAGCCCUAGGACCAUGCCUCAAGACUACCUGCCAUGAUGACUCCUUGCUGUCCCCAGUCCACCUGGCCGUGCUGCUGCUCCAGUUUCAACUGUUCUGCCUGUGAUUAUUAUUAUUUGACCAUGCUGGUCAUUUAUGAACAUUUGAACAUCUUGGCCAUGUUCUGUUAUAAUCUCCACCCGGCACAGCCAGAAGAGGACUGGCCACCCCACAUAGCCUGGUUCCUCUCUAGGUUUCUUCCUAGGUUUUGGCCUUUCUAGGGAGUUUUUCCUGUAGAAGCCACCGUACUUCUACACCUGCGUUGCUUGCUGUUUGGGGUUUUAGGCUGGGUUUCUGUACAGCACUUUGAGAUAUCAGCUGAUGUACGAAGGGCUAUAUAAAUAAAAAAU